UGGAGGGCAAGUCUGGUGCCAGCAGCCGCGGUAAUUCCAGCUCCAAUAGCGUAUAUUAAAGUUGUUGCAGUUAAAAAGCUCGUAGUUGAAUUUCGGGGUUCAUACGUUGGUCGGGCUUUUUGGUCUGUACUAGCGUAAUGGAUUCCUACCUUCUGAAUAACCGGCAUGCCAUUAAUUUGGUGCGCCGGGGAAGCAGGACUGUUACCUUGAAAAAAUUAGAGUGCUUAAAGCAGGCUAUCGCCUGAAUACAUUAGCAUGGAAUAAUGAAAUAGGACGGCAUGGUUCUAUUUUGUUGGUUUCUAGGAUCACCGUAAUGAUUAAUAGGGAUAGUUGGGGGCAUUAGUAUUCAAUUGUCAGAGGUGAAAUUCUUGGAUUUAUUGAAGGCUAACUUCUGCGAAAGCAUUUGCCAAGGAUGUUUUCAUUAAUCAAGAACGAAAGUUAGGGGAUCGAAGACGAUCAGAUACCGUCGUAGUCUUAACCAUAAACUAUGCCGACUAGGGAUCGGACGAUGUUAAUUUUUUAAUGACUCGUUCGGCGCCUUACGGGAAAC
rnacentral:rRNA from 1 species